CGGAUGGGAGAAACGGCGCUGAGGCGGAGAGAAGAGCUGGGCGGGUGGGGCGGAGGCUGAGAUCCACCUGAGACUGAGUGUGUGUGACGGGUCGAAGGCCACCCAUCAAGCAUCCUCGGCAGAGUCGGAAGUUGAACCUUGGUUUCCAAGAUCCUGGACCAACACUCUAACAACUACACCACACUGGCUGUCAUAUGAAAUACAGAAACUUGCAAGGACACAUCCAACUGUGCAUGCACAUCCAAGGAAUCCCAACAAGUGGACUGGCAGAGCAAAGCUUUGGGUCUAUGAAUAUGGAAUAUGUGCAUGAUGAUGCAGAAUCCUGAAGACCAUGGGAGCGGGGGGGGGGGGGGGUUA